rnacentral:misc_RNA from 1 species
UCCGAGUUGACCCCGGCAGUCUCCUAUGAGUCCCCACCAUCACGUGCUGGCAACAUAGGACGAGGGUUGCGCUCGUUGCGGGACUUAACCCAACAUCUCACGACACGAGCUGUCGACAGCCAUGCACCACCUGUGCAGGACCCUUGCGGACCCGACAUCUCUGCCGGAUUUCCCUGCAUGUCAAGCCUUGGUAAGGUUCUUCGCGUUGCAUCGAAUUAAGCCACAUGCUCCGCCGCUUGUGCGGGCCCCCGUCAAUUCCUUUGAGUUUUAGCCUUGCGGCCGUACUCCCCAGGCGGAAUGCUUAAUGCGUUAGCUGCGCCACCGACGAGCAAGCUCGCCAACGGCUGGCAUUCAUCGUUUACGGCGUGGACUAC